GCCCUUAUCGUCUAGUGGCUUAGGACAUCUCUUUUUCAUAGAGAUAACGGGGAUUCAAUUUCCCCUAAGGGUA
rnacentral:tRNA from 1 species